GACGAACGCUGGCGGCGCGCCUAACACAUGCAAGUCGAGCGGAGAUAUUUAAAGGAAGUUUUCGGAUGGAAUUUGAGUAUUUUAGCGGCGGACGGGUGAGUAACGCGUGAGUGACCUGCCUUCCACAGGGGGAUAACGUACCGAAAGGUACACUAAUACCGCAUGAGACCACAGCACUGCCUGGUGCAGGGGUCAAAGGAGCAAUCCGGUGGAAGAUGGACUCGCGUCCGAUUAGAUAGUUGGUGGGGUAACGGCCUACCAAGUCCGCGAUCGGUAGCCGACCUGAGAGGGUGAUCGGCAACAUUGGAACUGAGAGACGGUCCAAACUCCUACGGGAGGCAGCAGUGGGGAAUAUUGGGCAAUGGGGGAAACCCUGACCCAGCGACGCCGCGUGAGGGAAGAAGGUUUUCGGAUUGUAAACCUCUGUUCUUGGUGAAGAGGGAAAGACGGUAGCCAAGGAGGAAGCCCCGGCUAACUACGUGCCAGCAGCCGCGGUAA
rnacentral:rRNA from 1 species